ensembl:snRNA U6 U6 spliceosomal RNA
GUAUUCACUUGACUGCACUUAUAUAAAGCUAGAAGACUACACAGAAGAUUUACAGGGCCCCUGAACAAUGCUGACACACAAAUACAUGGGAUUGUCCACAUUUUU